GCUUUUCAUUGACCAUGGGUUGGAAUAGUUCUGUGGGCAUAGUGUGUCUUCGAAGCCACUAUGUUUUCUGCACUUGUGAGUAGAGAGCACCUUGAUAGCUCAGUUGGUAGAGCGGUGAACUGUAAGAUGCUCCUUGUGUGAAACGCUGUGAUCCUAAGGUCGCUGGUUCAACUCCAGCCGGAAGCACCUCCUUGUCAUUGGAAAUACCCCCACGCCUUGUCUUUAUCUGUCAACUCCUCCAAAAUGUAAAAACACAAACAAGAUAACUCUUUCUUAAAUUUUCAACCAUCAAUUUUUUAUUCACCCAGCCUAAAAGUCCUGAUUAUCAGUUCUGGGUCCCUGGCAAUGACUGUUGGGUACAAACUGCAAAGCUUUGUUGUGCAGGUAGGGCUGGGCUUUUCAUUGACCAUGGGUUGGAAUAGUUCUGUGGGCAUAGUGUGUCUUCGAAGCCACUAUGUUUUCUGCACUUGUGACUAGAGAGCACCUUGAUAGCUCAGUUGGCAGAGCGGUGGACUGUAAGAUGCUCCUUGUGUGAAACGCUGUGAUCCUAAGGUCGCUGGUUCAAUUCCAACCGCAAGCACCUCCUUGUCAUUGGAAAUACCCCCAAGCCUUGUCUUUAUCUGUCAACUCCUCCAAAAUGUAAAAACACAAACAAGAUAACUCUUUCUUAAAUUUUCAACCAUCAAUUUUUUAUUCACCCAGCCUAAAAGUCCUGAUUAUCAGUUCUGGGUCCCUGGCAAUGACUGUUGGGUACAAACUGCAAAGCUUUGUUCGUCAGGUAGGGCUGGGCUUUUCAUUGACCAUGGGUUGGAAUAGUUCUGUGGGCAUAGUGUGCCUUCGAAGCCACUAUGUUUUCCGCACUUGUGACUAGAGAGCACCUUGAUAGCUCAGUUUGUAGAGCGGUGGACUGUAAGAUGCUCCUUGUGUGAAACGCUUUGAUCCUAAGGUCACUGGUUCAACUCCAGCCGGAAGCACCUCCUUGUCAUUGGAAAUACCCCCAAGCCUUCUCUUUAUCUGUCAACUCCUCCAAAAUGUAAAAACACAAACAAGAUAACUCAUUCUUAAAUUUUUAACCAUCAAUUUUUUAUUCACCCAGCCUAAAAGUCCUGAUUAUCAGUUCUGGGUCCCUGGCAAUGACUGUUGGGUACAAACUGCAAAGCUUUGUUGUGCAGGUAGGGCUGGGCUUUUCAUUGACCAUGGGUUGGAAUAGUUCUGUGGGCAUAGUGUGUCUUAGAAGCCACUAUGUUUUCUGCACUUGUGACUAGAGAGCACCUUGAUAGCUCAGUUGGCAGAGCGGUGGACUGUAAGAUGCUGCUUGUGUGAAACGCUUUGAUCCUAAGGUUGCUGGUUCAACUCCAGCCGGAAGCACCUCCUUGUCAUUGGAAAUACCCCCAAGCCUUGUCUUUAUCUGUCAACUCCUCCAAAAUGUAAAAACACAAACAAGAUAACUCUUUCUUAAAUUUUCAACCAUCAAUUUUUUAUUCACCCAGCCUAAAAGUCCUGAUUAUCAGUUCUGGGUCCCUGGCAAUGACUGUUGGGUACAAACUGCAAAGCUUUGUUCUGCAGGUAGGGCUGGGCUUUUCAUUGACCAUGGGUUGGAAUAGUUCUGUGGGCAUAGUGUGUCUUCGAAGCCACUAUGUUUUCUGCACUUGUGACUAGGGAGCACCUUGAUAGCUCAGUUGGUAGAGUGGUGCACUGUAAGAUGCUCCUUGUGUGAAACGCUGUGAUCCUAAGUUGGCUGGUUCAACUCCAGCCGGAAGCACCUCCUUGUCAUUGGAAAUACCCCCAAGCCUUGUCUUUAUCUGUCAACUCCUCCAAAAUGUAAAAACACAAACAAGAUAACUCUUUCUUAAAUUUUCAACCAUCAAUUUUUUAUUCACCCAGCCUAAAAGUCCUGAUUAUCAGUUCUGGGUCCCUGGCAAUGACUGUUGGGUACAAACUGCAAAGCUUUGUUCUGCAGGUAGGGCUGGGCUUUUCAUUGACCAUGGGUUGGAAUAGUUCUGUGGGCAUAGUGUGUCUUCUAAGACACUAUGUUUUCUGCACUUGUGACUUGAGAGCACCUUGAUAGCUCAGUUGGCAGAGCGGUGGACUGUAAGAUGCUCCUUGUGUCAAACGCUGUGAUCCUAAGGUCGCUUGUUCAACUCCAGCUGGAAGCACCUCCUUGUCAUUGGAAAUACCCCCAAGCCUUGUCUUUAUCUGUCAACUCCUCCAAAAUGUAAAAACACAAACAAGAUAACUCCUCCUUGAUUUUCCAACCAUCAAUUUUUCAUUCACCCAGCCUAAAAGUCCUGAUUACCAGUUCUGGGUCCCUGGCAAUUACUGUUGGGUACAAACUGUGAAGCUCUGUUCUGAAGGUAGGGCUGGGCUUUUCAUUGACCAUGUGGGUGGAUUAGUUUUGUGGGCAAGGUGUGUCGUCUCAGCCACUAUGUUUUCUGUAGUUGUCAGUAUGGCUCACCUUCAUAGCUCAGUUGGUAGAGCGGAGGACUAUAUGGAAGCUCCUCAUAUGAAAUUGCUCUGAUGCAAAGGUCGCUGGUUCAAAUCCAGCUCGAAGCAUGUGCAUUUCAUUCGUCUGAGCAACGUUCAAGUUCUACUUAUGUCGAAAUAAUGCCAAGCCUUGUCCUCAUUUGUGUACUCCUCCAAAAUUUAAAAACACAAACAAGAUAACUCCUCCUUGAUUUUCCAACCAUCAAUUUUUUAUUCACCCAGCCUAAAAGUCCUGAUUACCAGCUCUUGGUCCUUUGCAAUGACUGUUGGGAACAAUCUGUGAAGCUCUGUUCUGAAGGUAGGGCUGGGCUUUUCAUUGACCAUGUGGGUGGAAUAGUUGUGUAGACAAAGUGUGUCAUCUCAGCCACUAUGUUUUCUGCAGUUGUGAGUAGACAGCACCUUUAUAGCUCAGUUGGUAGAGUGGAGGACUAUAUGGAAGUUCCUUAUAUAAAAUGCUGUGAUGUGAAGGUCGCUGGUUCAACUCCAGCUAGAAGCAUGUGCCUUUCAUUGGUGUGACCAAUGUUCAAUUUCUAAUUAAUUUGAAAUAAUACCAAGCCUUGUCUUCAUUUGUGUACUCCUCCAAAAUUUAAAAACACAAACAAGAUAACUCCUCCUUUAUUUUCCAACUAUCAAUUUUUCAUUCACCCAGCCUAAAAGUCCUGAUUACCAGUUCUGGGUCCUUGGCAAUGACUGUUGGGUACAAACUGUGAAGCUCUGUCCUGAAGGUAGGACUGGGCUUUUGAUUGGCCAUAUCAAUCAAAACCCCAUCCUAAAAGUCCUGAUUACCAGUUCUGGGUCCCUGGUAUUGACUGUUGGGUACAAACUUCAAAGCUUUGUUCUGCAGGUAGGGCUGGGCUUUUGAUUGACCAUGGGGUCGAAUAGUUGUGUGGGCAUAGUGUGUUGUGUCAGCCACUGUGUUUUCUGCAGAGCACCCUUCAAUACCUCAGUUGGUAGAGCGGAGGACUGUAGGAUGUUCCCGAUAGAAAUUGCUGUGAUCCUUAGGUCGCUGGUUCAACUCCGUCUCGAAGCAUGUUCCUUUCAUCAGUGUGAGCAAUGUUCUGGAUCUAAUAAAAUCGAAAUAAUGCUUAGCCUUGUCUUUAUCUAUCAACUCCGUCACUUAAAAUGUACAAACACAAAUCAGAUAACUCCUAAUUUCCAUGUAAUUAAUUUCUUUGCUGGAGGAGGUGGGGUUUAUGUUCUGUACUGCGACCAGUCACCAGGGGGUGCUGUUUUCACAGAGGCUUCACCCAAGCAAGGAGGCAGAAAAGGUCUAAACAGUCUAUGAUCUGGCACCAUCUGGGAAUUACCAGGUUGUAAUCAAAACCUCAGGAGAAAAAUUAUAGAAGUAAAAAGAGUUAAUGGUAUGCUGUAAAGUUUUCUGUUUCCUCCUUUUGACAUAUAACCAUUUACUUCAUGAUAGCUAGCUUUUCUAUGGUUUUGGUAAGUAACGUAUUCAGGGGACAUCCCAGGAGUCAGGAGCAUAUCAACGCCUCACACAUUAGAGGACAUUUUGUCAAUAAAUCUGUUCUUGUUUCUAGACUAGGAAAAGGACAACGGUCUGGCUAACAGACUCUACUGUGCUAUGUGAAUGUUAACAUACUGAAUGAGGUGGCAUGUGCAAUGUAUGGUUCAACAUAGAAAACAGUUUCCUUAAAUGUAAGGUAUGAUUGGCACUGCACUCAAAUCAACAUUUUGUAUCAUCACCAAAUCAUUUUGGAUUUCACAUUAUUUAAAAAAACAAAACGUACACCCAGUUAUCUCUGGACUAAAGACAGGAGAAAACUUUGGUCGUAUAAUGUUCUGUAUUUUCAUAAGUGUUUCAAAGUUAAAGUAGCUCAUUUAUGUGUAUUGCAUACAAAAUCUUGUUUACUAAGAACCUAAAUGCCAUGGAAGAAACUUGGGAGUAAAUAUGUUUUAGCUCUUUGCCUCAGGCCUACCUUGGAGCAGUUGUGCUGUGUAUCAUAAAUGAGCAGUGAGAAAAAAAAAAAUCCUCACCGCAGGUGGUUUACAGGUUCAUGUUGGGGGGAAAAAAGGACUCAAAAGCCCUACCUCAAAGACACAUGAGGCUGAGAAAUUUCUCUGAGUACAAACACAGCUCUAAGAUGCUUUGAGAAAUUCCCAACCUGACACUUUUUUGCUCCAACAAACACAGACGGUGUCUCUCUGGGUCUGAAGCUGUCCCCUGCGACAUGGGUGUAUACCUUUCACGACGGCAUACAUGCCCAACCCUACCUAGCAUCUUGGUCCCUCUGAAAAUCCAGAAUCCAGCCCAGUAAUCCCCAAACUACAGAUAAAUCCUCUCUUCUUGGCAAAACCAGUAAAUCCUCACAAAACCCCUUCAGUCUCAACCUUCCAAAGAUUGUGCCACAGACAGCAGCGAAGGAAGAGAGGGGUGAACAUAUCACCAUUCAAACACACAAACUUAUUUUAUGAGAUUAAUGGUUGUAAAGGUAUUGAUCAUCAGAAUUCGAAAAUGAAUUGUUUGAAAAUGUUUAUACCUUCCUUCAAAUUGAAUUAUUGAUACAGACAUUUUGGCUCUCAAAGGUUUGGACAGACACUAUAACCUUUUUCUUGAUAUUCAGGUAAAAAUUAUUUCAUUGGACAAUUAUUCAUGAAUGGUGACGCUAACAUAGACACUGAAACAGGAGUGAUAUAAUCGUAUUUCUGGUUCGAGGGAGCUGAGUUCUGUACUGCCUGGAACAAAUUUUUUUUUUCCUGAAGUAACCAACAGGUGAUGAGAUAAAAGCAUUUUAAAUCACCUCAGUGUUUUUAAGAAGAACUCAAAUUAAAACUUUAAAACUUAAAUACACAUCCUUCACCCUCUAUUGAUUUGGGAAACAACCAAACACAACUAAACAUAAAGAAAAGUACCUCAGUUUAAUAGCACAGUUUCAGUGGACUAAAUCAGCCUCUACUUUGUGGUGGGACAGACGCACACCUGAUUUCAUCAUUACUAAACCCAAAGAGCAGACAAGCAACAUGGGUCAAAUGUGACUGCAGACCCAAGGGACCGUCUUUGUAGACUGGGAGUUUAGUCAUUCUUUUUAUAAGGUGAGUGGACAAGCUGCACCUGGUGCUCACUAGCAGUUGCUCAAUAUGACUUAAGGUGGGCUGAAUUUAAAGGAGGACCAGCUUACUCUGCAACAUUUGCUCAACCAAAUCAAUUAGACAAACAUGAAUAUAUAACUGUGGUAACCAGACUGGUUUGAACCGGCAAGCAGCAAUCUUCUUCCUUAUGAGAUGUCCUGCUCUCUUUAUGUCCAGCUGGUGCAGUAGGGAGAUAAUUUGAGGAUCCACAUCUGAGCAGGGGUCAUUCUGUAGGACAUCAUCACCGUUGAGACUGAAGUUGUGCAAAAAUGUGCAGCAAGCCAUUAUGUCAGGUGCAAAAUGGGGGUGAACCUCUAGAGGUUUGGGUUGUGUGGCUCUUAAACGUCUUACAUCACUCUAAAAGCUUGUUUCACGCCUGACUGUGCCCUGAAGUGAUGCAAAUUGUACCUUUGUAUUUUACAGAGUAUGCUCGUAGGAAAUAAUAAUCUACCAUCUCCAAGGAGGUAAUAGUCAGUCAGGAGAUACAGGGCUAAGGAUAGUAUACAGCGCCAUUAGGCUGAGGGCUUUUGUCAGGUGCUGAGCCUGGAUAACCCCACAAACACAUCAAUGAAUCUGCUCCUAAUAUUACAGACUGUUUGCAUUUGUAUCGGCAGCAGAAGCUUACCCCCAAUUUCAACCGCACCUGGAACAGCUACGAAAAGGCCGUACGCUCCGAUCGUAGCUGAUCGCAACCAUUCGAGUUAAUGUGUCUAUUUCCACUGGCUUCUUCCGUUCUGCUGCGGAUCAGUGGACUCCACAGCUGAUCGCAAGAGUCCUAUUUUUUAGUUUUAUUGAUAACUGAAGGGUUUUUCAUUGUUGUUCUAGCAGGCAAUGUGCAAGAACUUGGUGGUCCUCUAAAAGCCUCCCCAGGUAAAAACACAAAUUUCCCAAAAAUAUAUACAUACAAGUAUUUCUUUUUGGUGAAGAUACCAAUAUUAAAAAAGAGCAGCUUACUGCUUAUUCAUAGUGUUGCUGGGCAACCACCUCGUCAUCUGUCCUUGGCUAAUAUGUCUUUUCUAAUCAGGACCUCAUGCAACUACUGACACCUGUAAGUCUUUUGUAAUUCAUCUCAUAGAAUCCUUUCUUCCUCCCACAGUAACAUUUUCUUUCCUGAAACGGAUAAUGAACUGACCUCAUAAAAGUCCACCUUUUGUGUUUUUAAAAGGUUUGAGGAGGAUGGAACAGUUUAGAUAUUGUGAUUAACCUGAAUGUGAA
rnacentral:lncRNA from 1 species